rnacentral:rRNA from 1 species
UACGGAGGGGGCUAGCGUUGUUCGGAAUUACUGGGCGUAAAGCGCGCGUAGGCGGCUUUGUAAGUUAGAGGUGAAAGCCCAGGGCUCAACCCUGGAAUUGCCUUUAAGACUGCAUCGCUUGAACAUCGGAGAGGUAAGUGGAAUUCCGAGUGUAGAGGUGAAAUUCGUAGAUAUUCGGAAGAACACCAGUGGCGAAGGCGACUUACUGGACGAUUGUUGACGCUGAGGUGCGAAAGCGUGGGGAGCAAACGGG